CACCUUUUGACCCUUUGGAUUUUCCUCCCAUCAUUUUCUGCUCCUGCCUAUGCGUGCAGUUCUUGGCUUGUCUGGAUUUCCCCUGUAGUCAUCACCAAGGAUCUUGACUCAGACCCUGUCUGAGGUUCUUCCUUCUUGGGUUCACCUGUGACAGGUUACCUACAGAGCUCAACUCUUGCCUCUGGUCCCCUUGGACAAAGUCCAGCCUCCACUGUCACCAAAGGCACUUUUGUAACUGCACACCAGUUUCUUCCAGAAUCCCAGCUGUCACUGGUUGGAAGAGACAAUGGAAGCUUUAUGGCUUUCCAGGAUCUUGGAAAGAGGGUUGGGGUUCCAUUACGGAGAAGCCACCCUGAAAAGAUGCUGCUAGGGAGCUGAAGUGAUGAAAUCUGGACAAAGCCAGAGGACACCGGGGGACCUGUCACCAAGUGAGGGCACUGACGUCCUGCAGAAGGGUGGUGUGGAAACGGAGAGUUUGGCUGGUGUGACUGCUGCCUCGAAGAGGUGGCUCCUCUCACCACUGCGUGGAUUGACUUGAUGCAAAGGCACUUCGCUGUCCCUGGUCACCAACUGAGUUCCCUUCCAUUGUCUCCGGCUCACCUGGGAAACAGCUUUGUGUCUGCCCUCAGCUGCUUUCUCCCCAGCCUUCUGGGUGGGGCAGGGGGCUCUGGGUGAGAGGGGAGCUCGGCCUGAAGGCGAAGCAGCCACCAAGCCCAGGUUUGGCCAGGAGAACCUCCCUCUGAAGUUGGUUCUCAGUCCAGAAACUUCUACCGUUUCACUCCAGAGACUCAAUUUCACAGCUUAGAAGAUUUUCUCCCCGAGCCCUUCAGCCCACUUCUCCUGUGUCGGAGAGAUGCUGUUCCAGCCUGUCUGGGGCCACUGAACUACAACGGCAUCCUGAAAGUGGUCCGUGUUUCUGUGGGAGUGAAGGCGUUGGAAACAACCCACGCACCUGGGCAGUGUCCUCCAUUGUCUCUUAGCACUUGGGCUCCCUCACGGGAGAAGGCAGGACGGC
rnacentral:lncRNA from 1 species